GCGGGCCCCGGGCACGAUCUGCGAGCGCGGCGAGUCGUUGGGCGAGGGGGUCAGGCGGUCCAUGUCACAGCCGGUGUAGAUCCUGCGGGAUUGUUUCAGAAACCCCUAGGAAAAAGCCGCGCACGCAGUAAUCAUGAAAGACUGGCCUUCACCCGUGUUCUGGAACCCGAGGUUUGCUGCUGGAAGCCUCCAAGAUGAGAUGCCUGAAGCUAUCGCAAUCACAAUGAAUCAUGAGGUGACCUAAAGGAAGAAAGCCAACACAAGCAAAGCAGAGCAGAGAGAUAGAAGGAACCUGGGUCUCUAAUGUCUUUGAAGUUUUAUAUUGGACUUGAAAUAUGAGACAUACCUUUCUACCUUGUUUAAGCCAUUGUUAUUUUGAGCUAACACAACCUUAGAUCUAAGUAUUACUUGUUUAAUGCAAAAACUGAAAAUAAUUCAGGCGUUACAUAAAGUAUAGGAGUCUCCCGCCUCACA